rnacentral:rRNA from 1 species
AUUGAACGCUGGCGGCAUGCUUUACACAUGCAAGUCGAACGGUAACAGGCCUUCGGGUGCUGACGAGUGGCGAACGGGUGAGUAAUGCAUCGGAACGUGCCCAGUCGUGGGGGAUAACGCAGCGAAAGCUGUGCUAAUACCGCAUACGAUCUGUGGAUGAAAGCGGGGGACCUUUGGGCCUCGCGCGAUUGGAGCGGCCGAUGUCAGAUUAGGUAGUUGGUGGGGUAAAGGCUCACCAAGCCAACGAUCUGUAGCUGGUCUGAGAGGACGACCAGCCACACUGGGACUGAGACACGGCCCAGACUCCUACGGGAGGCAGCAGUGGGGAAUUUUGGGCAAUGGGGGAAACCCUGAUCCAGCAAUGCCGCGUGCAGGAUGAAGGCCUUCGGGUUGUAAACUACUUUUGUACGGAACGAAACGGUCUGGGUUAAUACCCUGGGCUAAUGACGGUACCGUAAGAAUAAGCACCGGCUAACUACGUGCCAGCAGCCGCCGUAAUAC